rnacentral:rRNA from 1 species
UGAGAAAUAUUGGUCAAUGGGCGAGAGCCUGAACCAGCCACGUCGCGUGAAGGAAGACUGACCUUACGGUUUGUAAACUUCUUUUGUAGAGGGGUAAUGGCAGAUACGUGUAUUUGCGUGAAAGUACUCUACGAAUAAGAAUCGGCUAACUCCGUGCCAGCAGCCGCGGUAAUACGGGGGAUGCGAGCGUUAUCCGGAAUUAUUGGGUUUAAAGGGUGCGCAGGUGGCUAAUCAGGUCAGUGGUGAAAAGCUAUGGCUCAACCAUGGUCUUGCCAUUGAAACCGUAUAGCUAGAGAUGAGACGAGGUAGGCGGAAUGUGUGGUGUAGCGGUGAAAUGCAUAGAUAACACACAGAACUCCGAUUGCGAAGGCAGCUUGCCAGGCUUUAUCUGACACUUAGGCACGACAGCGUGGGGAUCAAACAGG